GUAUCUUUUUUUAAGGUUGACCGAGUGCCUUAGGAGGCUAACACAAAAGGGUAAACUGAGUCUCCAUAAAACCCAGAGAAGAGAUGGCAAAACUCCUCUUUGGAUUCUGUCUGGAGUCACAGAU